CGUGUCUGGAUUUGCGUUUCUGGCAUUUAUUUGCACAUAGCUGAGACAGAAGGUCAGCUCACAAUGAGAGCAUUUGAACCAACACAGCUGUACUUUUAACAGUUAUUUCCAGCGUUGCAAUCCGGUCAAUAAAACCUGAUGCUACAGGUUCAGUGACCCACAUACAGGGAGAGAAAUCCCAGCUUAACCCGCCCUGUCUUUCUUGCUGAAGCUUCAUGGAAGUGCAGCUUGUGUGAGUGUGCGUGUUUAAAUUUGGCGUGCUCUCUUUCCUGUUUGUCUGACUCCAUGAACUCCGCAGCUCCAGACACGUCUGUCAUGAACAGACAAAAUGAACCUGAGCUUGGAAGCUUUUCUGCAGCUUAUGGCGGCCCGCUGGAACAUGCCAUGUUUGUCUUUCUGUCCUGGGAAACUAACUGGUCACAGUUUUGGAGAAGUUUAUUGAGACCUGAAGAUGGGUCUCAGGAGGAACCUGAGAUUCCUGGUGUUGGUCGGUGAAGCAGAACUCAGAGCAGGAAAGGUGUGAACUCCGACUUAUUUCAAAUAUGCGGCGUUCUGAUGGCUGUCAAGCACUUCAGUUCAAGUCUGAGCAUCAAAGCCGAGCUGAACUCAAACAGCAGCCUAUCCCUCAGCAGGAGAACAUAUCUGUGCCACAUUUUUUCCCCUCUUAGUUUCCUGGUUCCUGCAACUCCUUGUAAACACUCAUUUGACCCAGAGGACACACUAACUGCAGCACCUGCGUCUGUGACUCUCCUGAAGGUCAAAAUGGCUGGAACUCCUCCAAAGUCAACACUGAGCAAUAAGAUGCAGACAACUGCCAUUUCCAGGGAGCUCCGUCAACACAGACGACCCUUUCCCCAACCGCGCGUUUGAGCUAAUCAUGGAAAAAUUUGCCUAUGAGUCUUGAAAUGCUUGAGUUGUUACACCGAGCUAAACGAGCUUAAGAAUAAUUUUUUUUUAUAGGUCACUGCUACUUUGCUGCAUGUGACUGUUGACCUAAUUCUCAGCCCUGGACAGGUGCAGAAAACAAAAACAGAGGCAAAGUUACUGAGGGUAAUUUGGUGCAAUUGAGCCCUCCCAUUAGUGACUUGCAGGCGUGCACACAGAGGAGGCGUGCACAACCCACACGUAUAUCGGCACACACACAACUACCUUUGACUGAGCCCUGUGGAAUCAAAACAACCACGCUCACCCUGCCUGGUCUGAAAGAAACACUGGCAGCUGUUUAUAACUCCAGUGUUGUGUAACACAUUACUCCAGCCUCUUUGACCUACACACUCUAUGAACUCAGGGGCAGUUUGGGAAAGAGGACAUAACAUCAAAAGUUUCAAAUUUAUUAAAUGCUGCGUAGUAUGGAGAGAAUUUUAUUCCAUUACUGUUGCAAGCAAAGAACAAAGUUUGAUCCUAGAAAUGUAACUUGUUAACUAAAAAUGAUUUUUUACUGAAUUUUAUUGAUAUUAGUAUCAUAUUUUCUUCUUUUUCACCUUUCAUAAAAAAAAUUCCUAAUUUAUUUAAUUUUUUCAAAUUUCGUCCUUUCAGAUAGAGUUUUCCAAAUUGCAUUCUUUUCAAGUUACGUUUUCAGACUUUCCUUUGAAGUGAAGAUGCAUUUUUAUUGGUCUGCACGGACAUUAGUAACAACAUUGUAAAGGUUAAUGUCAUUUUUUAAAUGCAUUUUCAAA